GGCCGAACCAUCAGGGACCUCAUCGGGACUCUAUGGAAAUGAGGCAAGCAGGAAAGGCAGUGAGGUCAAGGAAUCAUCCCAGCAGCAACCAGAAACAGAGGACGGGGCAGGGAAUAGAGAGACAUCAAUGGGAGAAAGUCCUCAGUGGCUGCCUCCUGCACGCUUCCUACUGGAGAUCGAGCCUCCAGGAAUUGACCCAGAGACCCCUUGGUUCAUGGGUCAACACUCAACCACUGAUCCACACCAGCCAGGCCAGUGAGGCUGAUUUCCAUGGGGUUAUAAAAGCACAGGAAGAUUUUAUUUGGGGAAAUACGGCCUGGUGUGAAUGCUAUUAAAGACACAGUUGGGCUCUGU